CACAGUGGAGGCCAGCCUCCUCCUCCACUGCCCCAAGGGGAACACCUACCACGGAGAGAGAACACUGCUCUAAGGGAUCGGAAGGACAUUUGUGGGUAACUGCCACAUGUGUCCCUUGCAAAAGGGUGGCUUGCUUCACAUUUUGCAGGCGCCAGGAUGACAGAGGUUCUGAAUAGCUGCGGACCAUAUGGGUUUAAAGACAAAGGAGGAAGCCUUUAGAUUUGUUUGUUCAUUUGUUUGUCUCAGCUAUAGAUAAACCAGUUUCCAAAUUUUAGCUUGCAAU